AUGGGCGCAGUCCUGAUGCAGCCACUGCCGCGUGUGUGAAGAAGGCCUUCGGGUUGUAAAGCACUUUCGGCGGGGAGGAAGGUGUUGUGGUUAAUAACCUCGGCAAUUGACGUUACCCGGACAAGAAGCCCCGGCUAACUCCGUGCCCACAGCCCCGGUAAUACGG
rnacentral:rRNA from 1 species